AGCAACCGCUUGCACUUGAACAUGAAAUAGCAACAACACGGCAAAGGCAAAUACAAAAAUAAAGCGAAACAGAAACCGUAACCGAAAACGCACUUGAAAACGAAAACAAAGCGGGAAGCAAGAAGAGGUUUGUUCUAUUGAAUUGGAUUUUAAACCGCGCUUUGCGUUAAUUCAGGUGCGAAAGCCACCAGGCAGCCAUCAGCCGGUAGUAUUUCGCGUAGUAUUGUGUGUCCACAAAUGGUACAGGCGGCUGCACUCGCUUUUCGGUUUGGUGGACAUGAGAAAGGUGAGUGCGCGAAAGGUCAAAGUUGAGGCCGAGAACAUUCCACGCGCCAAAAUCCACACAAACACAAACACACACACAUACACAUCAGCGCGCUUCCCACUCGUUUUUAAACACACAAAAGGUCACAUGGCCGUAGAAC
rnacentral:lncRNA from 1 species